AGAGUUUGAUUAUGGCUCAGGAUGAACGCUGGCGGCGUGCCUAAUACAUGCAAGUCGAACGAGAGUAGCAAUACUCGAGUGGCGAACGGGUGAGUAACACGUAGGUAACCUGCCUUACAGUUUGGGAUACCCGAGGGAAACCUUGGCUAAUACCGAAUAAUUCUUUUUGGAGGCAUCUCCGAAAGCUAAAAGGGGCCCUUAAAGCCUCGCUGAAUGAUGGACCUGCGGCGCAUUAGCUAGUUGGUGAGAUAAUAGCCCACCAAGGCGAGGAUGCGUAGCCGACCUAAGAGGGUGAACGGCCACACUGGAACUGAGACACGGUCCAGACUCCUACGGGAGGCAGCAGUAGGGAGUUUUCGGCAAUGGGGGAAACCCUGACCGAGCAACGCCGCGUGAACGAUGAAGGUCCUUCGGAUUGUAAAGUUCUGUUAUAAGGGAAGAAUGAUAGCCUGAGGAAAUGCUGGCUAUUUGACGGUACCUUAUUAGAAAGCCACGGCUAACUACGUGCCAGCAGCAGC
rnacentral:rRNA from 1 species